CCUACGGGAGGCAGCAGUGAGGAAUAUUGGUCAAUGGACGAGAGUCUGAACCAGCCAAGUAGCGUGAAGGAUGACUGCCCUAUGGGUUGUAAACUUCUUUUAUAUGGGAAUAAAAUGUUCCACGUGUGGGAUUUUGUAUGUACCAUAUGAAUAAGGAUCGGCUAACUCCGUGCCAGCAGCCGCGGUAAUACGGAGGAUCCGAGCGUUAUCCGGAUUUAUUGGGUUUAAAGGGAGCGUAGGUGGAUUGUUAAGUCAGUUGUGAAAGUUUGCGGCUCAACCGUAAAAUUGCAGUUGAAACUGGCAGUCUUGAGUACAGUAGAGGUGGGUGGAAUUCGUGGUGUAGCGGUGAAAUGCUUAGAUAUCACGAAGAACUCCGAUUGCGAAGGCAGUUCACUGGAAUGUAACUGACACUGAGGCUCGAAAGUGUGGGUAUCAAACAGGAUUAGAUACCCUUGUAGUC
rnacentral:rRNA from 1 species